AGAGGGACACAGGCUAAACAAGUCAGAACAGUAGGGACACAGGCUAAACAGGUCAGAACUGGAGGGACUCAGGCUAAACAAGUCAGAACGGUAGGGACACAGGCUAAACAGGUCAGAACGGAAGGGACACAGGCUAAACAAGUCAGAACGGGAGGGACACAGGCUAAACAGGUCAGAAUGGCAGGUAAUUGAAUUUCGUUUUUGCAUGUGUCAGUGUUUCCUGCAACGUUUUCUUCCAACAACAUCUUUGAACCCGUGGACAGAAUUUGUUAAAAAUUCCUUGAGUGGUCUUGUUAACAUUGUUAAAAUACUUAAGAUUGGGUGAUUAAUUAGUUCAUGGGGCUCAAAAGGGGGUUAAAAAAAUAAUAUAUAUAUCUUUCAUAGGAAACUUCAAAGUUGAUGAAUGUUAUAUUUUGUAUAUAGCACUAUCUCGAAUUCUCUUACAAAGUUUGUUUAAG